UUUGUCGACGUUGGGAGCUCGACGCCAACGCAUCAUCAUUGGGUAAAAUAUUAAUUCCCGUGAUUUCUCAACCCUAUAAUUGACACUUAAAGUCGUGACUUUCUCAACAUCUUUUAGCGUCGAGAAUGCAUGUGACUUGCACGUAUUUUAAUUUUAGGGGGAAAUAGAAAACGGGGAAUCGAGGGUACUACUAUAGAACUCCCAGCCCACAUCUCUCAAACCCUAAACUGCCUGCAAAACCCAGAAACAUACGCUCAAUUCUCUCUUCACCAUUGUCUUCAUGUUUGUUUAACUUCAAUUCUUAUGUUUCUCAGGUGUUUUUUUUUCUUCUUUUUCUCUAAUUUCGUUAACUUAAUCUGAUACUUUUUAUACUUUCAUUGAAAUCUUCAUCUUCUUCCUUUCAUAAUCCUCAUGCGUUACAGCUAAUGGAAGAAUUGAUUUUUCUACUCAUUUCGCUUCCUUCUAGCGGAAUUCCUGAGAUUCAUACUUGCGAUUUUUUAACUAGAGAUGCUGGGAACUACUGGAUAUUUUCCAACGACACACUUGGAAUCUUAGUAGAGAAUAGGGCAGGAACAAUGGUAAUGUAAGUAACCCUCACGCUCUCUCCUCCUUCGUCAUUACCAAAGAGCUUCAAUCAUCUUGGUACAUUGACUAGUAGUUUUUUGAAAACUGUUGUAAUAGACACGGAAUUAAAGUAUUUGGCUGUUUUCUAACCUGGGAUGUCGUCUUGGCAUUUAUUGUUUCAUGGUCGUUGUGGUUGAUUUCUAUGACGGUUGAUUUUCAUUUCUUACUCAUACUUAUUUCAUCUUGUUUUUUUUCCUGUGAAAAUCGUCCAACGUGAUAAGGAUCAACAUAAGAAUGAAGGUGGGGAACUCGAGUUUAUCAUAUAAGCUACUACCACCGUUAGAUUCUAGUUUUCUAGGCUUAAUUACUUCUUCGAUUUAGUAACUCAGAUACAACUUGUAUUUUUUACGAUGUAUGGACUAUUUAGUUAGUAACAUUUAUGUACUGUGGAUUUUGGUUAAUUAGUAACAUUAUCGUAUACGAUAGAUUUUAACUAUGUACUUCUAGAUUUUUAUAAGUUUAUUUUAAUGUUAUGUUGA